GGGCAAUCCACAUCAACAUCUGCUAUCAACCGCACGUACCACGUGUGCUGAUCGUCGUGCAACUUGCAGAUGCUUUUAUUCCAAAAUACCAAUGUAAAACCUGUACAGACGCACGUAGCCAAUUAAAUUAAAAAUCCCAUCCCAACAAUGUUGGUGACAGAAACACCAUAUCGCACAGACCAAUCUUCUUAUUACCCUUUUUUCCCAUUUGCCUGCUCUCUCUGAACGUUCACAUACCCAAACGUCACAGUCAGUUAACUCUAUCAAUAUCAAUCUUACACGACACGACGUCGUUAAAAGAAGACGGAUCUCUUUAACUGUACCAAUCUUUCAUCUUCUUCCUUCCUCCUUUGCCUAUCUAUCAUAUCUAUAAAAUCAAACUUCUCAGUUUAUUAAAAAAAAACCAACUUUGAAGGACAAAAAAAAAAAACUCAGAGCUCACUCACUCUCUCUCUCAGAACCCUAGCAUGGGAUUUCCCGUAGGAUACACAGAGGUUUUCUUACCGAAGCUAUUCGUACAAACGCUUUCGAUUCUAGGUUUCAUCAGAACCGUCGUCUUCUCCAUCUUCCGCUUCUUGGGU
rnacentral:lncRNA from 1 species